rnacentral:lncRNA from 1 species
UUUUAUCCUCCAUAUGUAAAGUGGCGUCGCAACCAUUUGCAAUUUCCAAGUCAAAGAUAACUGUCUGUCCCUCAUGUACCGGAUUAGUCUUUGGGAGGUUACUAGAGCAGAUUGUCUUGGGCUGAUUUACAUGCUCGUCCUCAGUAGACUUGUGUCCCUCAUGUACCGGAUUAGUCUUUGGGAGGUUACUAGAGCAGAUUGUCUUGGGCUGAUUUACAUGCUCGUCCUCAGUAGACUUGUGUCCCUCAUGUACCGGAUUAGUCUUUGGGAGGUUACUAGAGCAGAUUGUCUUGGGCUGAUUUACAUGCUCGUCUUCAGUAGACUUGUGUCCCUCAUGUACCGGAUUAGUCUUUGGGAGGUUACUAGAGCAGAUUGUCUUGGGCUGAUUUACAUGCUCGUCCUCAGUAGACUUGUGUCCCUCAUGUACCGGAUUAGUCUUUGGGAGGUUACUAGAGCAGAUUGUCUUGGGCUGAUUUACAUGCUCGUCCUCAGUAGACUUGUGUCCCUCAUGUACCGGAUUAGUCUCUGGGAGGUCACUAAAGCUGAUUGUCUUCGGCUGAUUUACAUGCUCGUCCUGAGUAGACUUGAGUUUGUCACUUCGAAUACCAAUUUCUGCUGCAAUUUCCUGGUAAUCAACACUUGGAGUACCUUUGGGAAAUUCCAGACUAGACUUUUGAUUGAUUG